AUUUUAAAAGUGAGUUGCUCAGUUUCCAAAAUGUGAACCUCUAUUAACUGCUUGAUUGAAAGUUUAACUUGAUGUUUAUGGCACAGUGAUCUGUAAGGGAAGUUGGCAAGAUACUACUAUUGGAUAUUUCUGAUAAAUGGUCAGAUACCAGCCUGUUAGGUUCUGGGGUUGCUACUGUGCAUUCCCAUUCACCACUAGAUGGAGUCCUUGAGGCAGCCGGGCAGAGGCUCCUCCAGUACGUCAUCCUCACACCUGGGAUCAAUUACCUCCUUGAUGCUUAAGAGAGGUGGAAGCCAGUGCUUCAAUGUUGUUCAGUGAUGGUACCUCUAGCCCCUCUGAGUUAUCGCCGAGUAUCCGUUGUUGACCCUGCUUCUGCUGAAUUGAAAGUAAUUCUUUCCUGUGACAUCUGUUUUCCUGAGGUGAAUCUUGAAUCCAGAUCUGGCUUUGACUCUUUGUUUCCUUGUGACGUUGCAGGCCGUUACCCCGCUGAUGCCCGAGUCUUCAGAACCUCCAAAGACAGUUGAAACUCACCUCCAAUCCAAGAGAUCUGACUGGCAGUUCCAACACUCCUCCCACGCCUUCAAGGACUUGCCUACCUGUCCCCCCUCCGACACCGCCUCUCCAUCCAACUCAGUUCACCUCCUCCACUCUCUUUUGAAACACUCUCAAGACCACUCAGAAAGUAAACCCCAGAGACCAAAGGACCCCCGGACCAACAAUACCCCUCCAGCGCCGUUACUCAUCACCAUUUUUUGCACUGCCUGCAGCAGUCUGUUCCUUGGACCAGAGACUCAUCUGAUUUGUUUUGUGUUUGCAACAUAUCUUUAUUAUUUACGUCUUCUCUUGGUGGCGUUCUUGCAUGUGGGUAAAGUCACUUAAACCCAUCAUGACACAGCCAGUAAUCAAUGUGAGCUUUGUAUGAUCAUUGCUUAUUAUGCCAUGUGUAUAUUCUUUUUGAGGGGAAGUCCUUCCCCCAUAUACCUACUAGACUAAAGCAUUCUAUAAAAGCAUUUAAAUCCUUAAGACCCUAACCCUAAAGAAAAUAAAAAUAAAAGGAUGUGAAAACUUCACUCAGAUGUAAAUAGUACUUUUCCUCAGUUUUUCUCUUAUAAAGAUGUAACGCGUCAGUCUGUGCACCGAAGCACAUGAAAUGCAUCUAUGGGGUAAUUUCAUUCUCACUAAAAAAAGAAA